rnacentral:misc_RNA from 1 species
GCAGGCCAGAUUUGUAAAACAAAUAGAUUUUAGGCCCAAAGAUUAUUUAAAGCAUUGCCUGGAACGCAGUGAGUUUUUGUUAGAAAAGAGGAUAAUUCAAAGUGGCAUUGCUUUGCUUCUUAUGUUAAUUUGGUACAGACCUGUGGCUGAGUUUGCUCAAAGUAUUCAGAGCAGAAUUGUGGAGUGGAAAGAGAGAUUGGACAAAGAGUUUAGUUUGUCAGUGUAUCAAAAAAUGAAGUUUAAUGUGGCUAUGGGAGUUGGAGUUUUAGAUUGGCUAAGAAACAGUGAUGAUGAUGAUGAUGACAGCCAGGAAAAUGCUGAUAAAAAUGAAGAUGGUGGGGAGAAGAACAUGGAAGACUCAGGGCA